rnacentral:lncRNA from 1 species
ACAGGAAGAAACAACAGGAACACAUAUAGCUGGAGUGCAGAUGGGAUCUGUGCUACUUACGCUAGCCAUGGGAUGAUUAGAACAAGAUAAGAGACAUGAGGAAGACUUCUUCAAGGAGGUGCUCAAGCCAUGUUUUGGAAAAGAGAACUCAAGGUCUGGCAGGGAGAAAGGAGCAAGAGCAGACUUUGAGUCUUUGCUUCAGAUGCAGAUCAAGAUGUGGCAACCUGUUGUGGAGAACCGGGUCCCUUGAGCCUGUGCUGUCUCUUUUUUUCUGGUGGCUUUGUCAUUUGGAACAAUGCAUAAUGGGCUGGAGGCUGAGAAACUCUGAGCUGAGGGCAAGUAGAGCUGUGGCUGUCUGGCGCCACUGUAAUGCUGUCUCCUCCUCUGAGUUCAUCCCGGAAACAUUUUCUCCCAUAAGACAUGCGCAGGUCUUACGUUUACAUGUUUCACUGAAAGAAAUUUGAUUCCACUGAUGGGAUGACAAGGAAGACUGGAGAAACCUAAUCCUAGGUGCUGCCAUUGGG